GAUGAACGCUGGCGGCGUGCCUAAUACAUGCAAGUCGAGCGCACAGACGAGGUGCUUGUUCCUCUGACGUUAGCGGCGGACGGGUGAGUAACACGUGGAUAACCUACCUAUAAGCCUGGGACAACUUCGGGAAACCGGUGCUAAUACCGGAUAAUAUAUUUAAACACAUGGUUUAAUAGUGAAAGAUGGUUUUGCUGUACCCUAAAGUUGUCUCCCCGCCGCUUUAGGUGGUUGGUAGGGGAAGGGCCUACCAAGGGAACAUUCCUACACCGACCUGAAGGGGUGAUCGGCCACACUGGAACUGGGACACGGGCCAGACUCCUACGGGAAGCAGCAGUAGGGAAACUUCCGCAAUGGGCGAAAGCCUGACGGGGCAACGCCGCGUGAGUGAUGAAGGUCUUCGGAUCGUAAAACUCUGUUAUUAGGGAAGAACAAAUGUGUAAGUAACUAUGCACGUCUUGACGGUACCUAAUCAGAAAGCCACGGCUAACUACGUG
rnacentral:rRNA from 1 species